GUCACAUGGCGCUGGGCUGUGGCAGAGGUACUAUGCUAGCUGGCUGCCGGCCGCAUGGAACUCUGGGUAGGAGAGUGCGUCUCGCGGCAAUGGCGACAGCAGUGUCACUUCGGGCAGGGCCCGGCGAAUCAUAUUUGGAAAACGCAGGUGUAACUUAGAAAAACAUGACACUGUCACAGUCAUUAAAACACUCGAGAUGGGGAACAUGAAUAGCAAGUGUUGGCUUGUCAAAGCUGUUGCAGUGUUGUCAAGACGUCCUAUGGUCGAUGUCAAACUGGCCGCUACCCAUUCAUAAAUAUUAAGUUGGACCAUAUUUCCAUGUUUGAGGGAAGAAAGAUUUCCUCAUCUUACUCACGGGUAGAUGCAUAUGGAUCACCAGAAUUACCUUGAUGCCAAGCAUAACUGCACCUCAAGAGCAUCUCAGAUUAUAACAUAUCUUCAGAUUUCUUGGAAUAUUUUGUGGUCAAGCAUUACAUUGCCUAUGAAAGAACAACUCUUGUUGUGUAUACAGGUGUAAACAUAUUAAAGUUCUAUCUGAACAUUUUGCUGAAGUAUUGGCUCUGUAAAUGAUGUCUGUGACCAUCAGAAUACACCAUAUAUACACUGGACACUUGCUGGAACAGGACCUACUUGUCAUCAACAUGGUGUUGCAGAACAUCUUGGGACUCAUAAAGUCCAGUGUGAAUCUAGAUACUGACACCAGUAACAGUGCAUGCUGGCACAUUUAUUUGUUCAGGCUUGGCAUUUGGGAAUAUUUGCCAUGAAUGUUAAAUACUCAUGACCUUGGAAUAAAAUUACUGAAUAGAUCUGAA